rnacentral:rRNA from 1 species
GAGCGGUAGAGAGAAGCUUGCUUCUCUUGAGAGCGGCGGACGGGUGAGUAAUGCCUAGGAAUCUGCCUGGUAGUGGGGGAUAACGUUCGGAAACGGACGCUAAUACCCCAUACGUCCUACGGGAGAAAGCAGGGGACCUUCGGGCCUUGCGCUAUCAGAUGAGCCUAGGUCGGAUUAGCUAGUUGGUGAGGUAAUGGCUCACCAAGGCGACGAUCCGUAACUGGUCUGAGAGGAUGAUCAGUCACACUGGAACUGAGACACGGUCCAGACUCCUACGGGAGGCAGCAGUGGGGAAUAUUGGACAAUGGGCGAAACCUGGAUCCAGCCAUGCCGCGUGUGUGAAGAAGGUCUUCGGAUUGUAAAGCACUUUAAGUUGGGAGGAAGGGCAGUUACCUAAUACGUGAUUGUUUUGACGUUACCGACAGAAUAAGCACCGGCUAACUCUGUGCCAGCCGCCGCGG